CCUACGGGUGGCAGCAGUCGAGAAUCAUUCACAAUGGGGGAAACCCUGAUGGUGCGACGCCGCGUGGGGGAAUGAAGGUCUUCGGAUUGUAAACCCCUGUCAUGUGGGAGCAAAUUAAAAAGCUAGUACCACACGAGGAAGAGACGGCUAACUCUGUGCCAGCAGCCGCGUGAAUACAGAGGUCUCAAGCUUUGUUCGGAAUCACUGGGCGUAAAGCGUGCGUAGGCUGUUUCGUAAGUCGUGUGUGAAAGGUGCGGAGUCAACCCGCGGACGGCACAUGAUACUGCGAGACUAGAGUAAUGGAGGGGGAACCGGAAUUCUCGGUGUAGCAGUGAAAUGCGUAGAUAUCGAGAGGAACACUCGUGGCGAAGGCGGGUUCCUGGACAUUAACUGACGCUGAGGCACGAAGGCCAGGGGAGCGAAAGGGAUUAGAUACCCUUGUAGUC
rnacentral:rRNA from 1 species